UUUACGGAGAGUUUGAUCCUGGCUCAGGAUGAACGCUGGCGGCGUGCUUAACACAUGCAAGUCGAACGGUGAAGCAGAGCUUGCUCUGUGGAUCAGUGGCGAACGGGUGAGUAACACGUGAGCAACCUGCCCCGGACUCUGGGAUAAGCGCUGGAAACGGCGUCUAAUACUGGAUACGAGCUGCGACCGCAUGGUCAGCAGUUGGAAAGAAUUUCGGUCUGGGAUGGGCUCGCGGCCUAUCAGCUUGUUGGUGAGGUAAUGGCUCACCAAGGCGUCGACGGGUAGCCGGCCUGAGAGGGUGACCGGCCACACUGGGACUGAGACACGGCCCAGACUCCUACGGGAGGCAGCAGUGGGGAAUAUUGCACAAUGGGCGAAAGCCUGAUGCAGCAACGCCGCGUGAGGGACGACGGCCUUCGGGUUGUAAACCUCUUUUAGCAGGGAAGAAGCGAAAGUGACGGUACCUGCAGAAAAAGCGCCGGCUAACUACGUGCCAGCAGCCGCGGUAAUACGUAGGGCGCAAGCGUUAUCCGGAAUUAUUGGGCGUAAAGAGCUCGUAGGCGGUUUGUCGCGUCUGCUGUGAAAUCUGGGGGCUCAACCCCCAGCCUGCAGUGGGUACGGGCAGACUAGAGUGCGGUAGGGGAGAUUGGAAUUCCUGGUGUAGCGGUGGAAUGCGCAGAUAUCAGGAGGAACACCGAUGGCGAAGGCAGAUCUCUGGGCCGUAACUGACGCUGAGGAGCGAAAGGGUGGGGAGCAAACAGGCUUAGAUACCCUGGUAGUCCACCCCGUAAACGUUGGGAACUAGUUGUGGGGUCCAUUCCACGGAUUCCGUGACGCAGCUAACGCAUUAAGUUCCCCGCCUGGGGAGUACGGCCGCAAGGCUAAAACUCAAAGGAAUUGACGGGGACCCGCACAAGCGGCGGAGCAUGCGGAUUAAUUCGAUGCAACGCGAAGAACCUUACCAAGGCUUGACAUAUACGAGAACGCUGCAGAAAUGUAGAACUCUUUGGACACUCGUAAACAGGUGGUGCAUGGUUGUCGUCAGCUCGUGUCGUGAGAUGUUGGGUUAAGUCCCGCAACGAGCGCAACCCUCGUUCUAUGUUGCCAGCACGUAAUGGUGGGAACUCAUGGGAUACUGCCGGGGUCAACUCGGAGGAAGGUGGGGAUGACGUCAAAUCAUCAUGCCCCUUAUGUCUUGGGCUUCACGCAUGCUACAAUGGCCGGUACAAAGGGCUGCAAUACCGUAAGGUGGAGCGAAUCCCAAAAAGCCGGUCCCAGUUCGGAUUGAGGUCUGCAACUCGACCUCAUGAAGUCGGAGUCGCUAGUAAUCGCAGAUCAGCAACGCUGCGGUGAAUACGUUCCCGGGUCUUGUACACACCGCCCGUCAAGUCAUGAAAGUCGGUAACACCUGAAGCCGGUGGCCCAACCCUUGUGGAGGGAGCCGUCGAAGGUGGGAUCGGUAAUUAGGACUAAGUCGUAACAAGGUAGCCGUACCGGAAGGUGCGGCUGGAUCACCUCCUUU
rnacentral:rRNA from 2 species